GAGGAGCUCGCGUCUGAUUAGCUAGUUGGUGAGGUAAGAGCUCACCAAGGCAUCGAUCAGUAGCUGGUCUGAGAGGAUGAUCAGCCACACUGGGACUGAGACACGGCCCAGACUCCUACGGGAGGCAGCAGUGGGGAAUUUUCCGCAAUGGGCGAAAGCCUGACGGAGCAAGACCGCGUGAGGGAGGAAGGCUCUUGGGUUGUAAACCUCUUUUGUCAGGGAAGAACACAAUGACGGUACCUGAAGAAUCAGCAUCGGCUAACUCCGUGCCAGCAGCCGCGGUAAUACGGGGGAUGCAAGCGUUAUCCGGAAUUAUUGGGCGUAAAGCGUCCGCAGGUGGCUAAUCAAGUCUGCUGUCAAAGGUUGGGGCUUAACCCCAAAAAGGCAGUGGAAACUGAGAAGCUAGAGUGCAGUAGGGGUAGAGGGAAUUCCCGGUGUAGCGGUGAAAUGCGUAGAGAUCGGGAAGAACAUCGGUGGCGAAA
rnacentral:rRNA from 1 species